GUCAACUACCCCUCCCUGACGGAAGGGGCUUGUUCCGUGAGGGGCAUCGCAAGAGUUGAUUAGGGGGCUUUGAAAACAUGGUGAAAAACAUGAAAGAAAGGCAGAAGUUAGAUUGGAGAAAUACAUACACACCUACGGAUGCUCCACAAGUCCGUGGCAACUGUG
rnacentral:sRNA from 14 species